AGAGUUUGAUCCUGGCUCAGGAUGAACGCUGGCGGCGUGCCUAAUACAUGCAAGUCGAGCGAACGGACGAGAAGCUUGCUUCUCUGAUGUUAGCGGCGGACGGGUGAGUAACACGUGGAUAACCUACCUAUAAGACUGGGAUAACUUCGGGAAACCGGAGCUAAUACCGGAUAAUAUUUUGAACCGCAUGGUUCAAAAGUGAAAGACGGUCUUGCUGUCACUUAUAGAUGGAUCCGCGCUGCAUUAGCUAGUCGGUAAGGUAACGGCUUACCAAGGCAACGAUGCAUAGCCGACCUGAGAGGGUGAUCGGCCACACUGGAACUGAGACACGGUCCAGACUCCUACGGGAGGCAGCAGUAGGGAAUCUUCCGCAAUGGGCGAAAGCCUGACGGAGCAACGCCGCGUGAGUGAUGAAGGUCUUCGGAUCGUAAAACUCUGUUAUUAGGGAAGAACAUAUGUGUAAGUAACUGUGCACAUCUUGACGGUACCUAAUCAGAAAGCCACGGCUAACUACGUGCCAGCAGCCGCGGUAAUACGUAGGUGGCAAGCGUUAUCCGGAAUUAUUGGGCGUAAAGCGCGCGUAGGCGGUUUUUUAAGUCUGAUGUGAAAGCCCACGGCUCAACCGUGGAGGGUCAUUGGAAACUGGAAAACUUGAGUGCAGAAGAGGAAAGUGGAAUUCCAUGUGUAGCGGUGAAAUGCGCAGAGAUAUGGAGGAACACCAGUGGCGAAGGCGACUUUCUGGUCUGUAACUGACGCUGAUGUGCGAAAGCGUGGGGAUCAAACAGGAUUAGAUACCCUGGUAGUCCACGCCGUAAACGAUGAGUGCUAAGUGUUAGGGGGUUUCCGCCCCUUAGUGCUGCAGCUAACGCAUUAAGCACUCCGCCUGGGGAGUACGACCGCAAGGUUGAAACUCAAAGGAAUUGACGGGGACCCGCACAAGCGGUGGAGCAUGUGGUUUAAUUCGAAGCAACGCGAAGAACCUUACCAAAUCUUGACAUCCUUUGACAACUCUAGAGAUAGAGCCUUCCCCUUCGGGGGACAAAGUGACAGGUGGUGCAUGGUUGUCGUCAGCUCGUGUCGUGAGAUGUUGGGUUAAGUCCCGCAACGAGCGCAACCCUUGGAGCAUGUGGUUUAAUUCGAAGCAACGCGAAGAACCUUACCAAAUCUUGACAUCCUUUGACAACUCUAGAGAUAGAGCUUUCCCCUUCGGGGG
rnacentral:rRNA from 1 species